UGCGGAUUGGUGUAAUAGUGAACACAACAGGCUCAUGACCUGUAGAUAAAGGUGCAAAUCCUUUGUCCGUAC